UCUGUGCACGGAGGCACAAGCCCGAUAUGUGAUAAGGAGGCUACCCGUGUCAUUUUAAACUAGUUCUAACCAGCUAGGCUGCUCCCUGUUCUGAGCUGCUGGCGAUUAGCUGUCAUCCAUCCUGCACAGGAGACAAGCAGGCCCUGUGGAGUCCUCAACAAUGAGGGAGGUCAAGUACUCCUUGACACAUGACACAACACUGCAUCCUGGUGACCCCACUGAUUUCGGAACAAGUGCAGAGUGAGAAAUGCAUUUAAUAUCGGGCAGGUGUGGCAGUGUUUGAGAGGAAGAGCUGGGGCUCAAGGCCAACCUGGGCUACAGCGUACAACUCUGUUUUAAUGCACUGAACACCAAAGCCCGGCCUACACUGCCUUGAAUAUACAGAGAGCACCUACAUUAGUCUGCAGCCUGGCAGAUCCUCUCAUACGAGACCAACUUUAACGGAUGAUAAAACUGGGGUGCGCAUCACUCUACAUGGGAUGGUGCAGACUGAAGGAGCUUCCUGAGGAAGAGGGUCAGCAUCCUACCUUCCAUUGCACAGUAGGCUCCUAGAAGGACCAGGACAGUCUAUCAAAAGUCCUAGGUUUCAAGAGUCAGGAGGAGGCCACACCCUCUAGAAGGAAGCCUUGAUAAGGACCGCGUGAUGCCAAUUACAAAGAUUAUUUGAUAAGCGUCCUCUUCUAUGCACCACUAAAGUUAACCUAUACCUGGGAGCGUGGCAGUGUUGAGUCACGGGCCCUGACUCCGUUCUUUGUGUGCUUUGAGGAAUCCACUCUUGUGGCCCUUUUUUCUUUUAAGUUUAUUUGGGAGGCUAUUAGGCUGCGUUGGCUCCAGUACGGUGUGCUCAGAGGAAGUAAACUGUGACCCAAUGGAAAGGAGCGGAUACUUGGUUUCUAAC